rnacentral:tRNA from 1 species
CAGGGAGACAAUUAAUAGAUUGUGAUGUCUGAUCAAUUUAUAUUAGGCCGCAAUCCUGUCACCUUAAGGUCGAUCGGUACCUCAGAUUUUGUUUUAAUUUUAUAAUUAAUUCUUUAAUUUCAGUUCCUAAACUUGUCUAGGUCACACCCAACAAGGGUUUCUCCUGGGCCAUUAGCUCAGGUGGUUAGAGCGCACCCCUGAUAAGGGUGAGGUCCCUGGUUCAAGUCCAGGAUGGCCCAUUCGUUGUUGGGGGUAUAGCUCAGUUGGUAGAGCGCCUGCUUUGCAAGCAGGAUGUCAGCGGUUCGAGUCCGCUUACCUCCACUGAAACCUACCCUGGUAACUAAUUUCGGGAGAAAAACGGUAAAUGUGACUUAGAUUGUCUAUUGAAAAGAACCUAGCUUCUUAUCAUCUUUAUUUAGUUGAUAACAUGCUGGGCUCGCAUGGAUUUAUUUCAUGGGAAUUCAGUAGAACCUUGAAAACUGCAUAGAUUUAGAAAGAAUAAAGCAUCUCAUGGAUGCAUAGUUCUGUAUUAGUAAUUGGUACAAAAGACCAAAUUAUCGUCAGGCAGAAUUCAUGUUUAAUUCUUGAGUAAUAGCCAAGCACAAUUGAGUUUGUGAUUGUAUUUAA